GUUCCUCCAUAAUACCCUGGACAAGUCAAUCUCAUCUGGUCUCCAAAGUAAGCAGGAACAGGCUUGAUUACUACUUGUAUAGGGGACUGUCUGAAGAAUAUCAAGUGCUACGAGCU
rnacentral:rRNA from 1 species